GAUCGUGCAUUUAAAUUUUGUUCAUAUCUUGUUUGGUUUAGCUUUUAUAGGCUGUUGAACACAAGUGUUGCAAAUGAGACGUAAUAAUGCGGUAUUGCAGAUAAUUUAGAAAUAGCUCUAUUAUUUUGAGCAUCCGACUUUCCUCCCUUUUUAUAGAGUGGAAUAAUAAUAGAAUCCUUCCCGAUAGUUGGAAAAACUGAUGUUGAGGUAGACAAUUAAAACAAUUUUAUAAUAGUUGAGGCACAAAACUACAGCACGAGAUACCGACCAGUCGGUAGGUAACGGGCCCCCGCCCAAACCACCCUGAGCUACCCUAGAAACGGUACGCUGACUGGGCGAUCACAUACAUCCACACAUUUGGAUGUAACUAUGUUGCUAUCUGUAAACAUAGCCCGAACCAGGCAACGACCCACUGAAGUCGUUGUGCCGCUACUUUUGCUGAUAUCGCUACUGGAUGCCUCCGACCACUAUCCACAUGAAAUUCAACACGAGCUGCCACUUCGGACGGACUGCCAAAUAAUCAUUUCUUUAUUUCAUCUUACAUUACUGUAUAAGCAUUUAUGUAUUAAUAUAUAAGACCUUAUGUACACAAAGGGCAGCGGAGGCUUCUUGGUCACCGCUGAACAAUAUACAGAUCAGUUUGAAUUGUCAUUUCAAUCGACACAGACCUGCUUAUUCAAUUUAAAAACUCAACAAUUGGAAAACCUUGGACCACCACUAAAGUUUUUGUUGUAAGCCAAGCUUAAGCGCUCGUUGCUAAUUAAAAAAAACGCUUUCGAUAAUGGGAACACCUGAGCUAGAGUUUUUUUGUAAAGCUAAUUUUUGGCACCUCUCAGCCAACAGCUGCCACGAAGCCUCUAGCUAGCCUAGCUGACCAAUUCCCGGUUCCGGCCAAGUUCUUCUCUCUCGAAACGUCGAUCCAAUUAGACGUGCCAGUUCUCCAUAAUUCAAAGUGCACCAAAAUAAUCUAGCAAAGUUGUGUGAUUCAUACGGAAUUAUCUUAUAUUUUGCUGGCAUUAUCAAAGUCGAAUAAUUUGACCCCUCUAGCGCUGCCACCAAUUGUGCGACCUGCAUUGCUGCCACUGCAGCAGCCAGAUCCACUCGUCGGCAUUAUUUUUGAAUACGGGAGCUGGAGAAAUCAUCAGCAGACCCUUUUUCGAGCGGGGCGCAAAUCUUACUUUGUGCCCCACGAGUUUUUACACCGAGGUGUGUGUCCUCAGGAGCACCCCUUCAGCAGGUCCAAUCUGCCGGCUCUGAGCGGCCACAACCUGCCGGAUAACUAAAAGAGGGGCUCCAACAAUCACAUUCGAGAGGAUGACCACCUAAGCCACUCUUCUCUAACUCACUUGCCAUAUAGGCAGCAUGCGCAUGGGAUAUCGUGUCUAACCCUACUUGGCAUACUGCCCCAGCUGGGAUUUUUUUUGUGUUUUGUUGGUGAUGCCUUUGCCAACCACAUAAUCCAUAAUAAAAAUCGCCAAAUUAAAUAAUUAAAAUCCCAAUGUACAAACAAACACCGACAUGCAAAACCUACAACUAAGAAAUACCACAAGAAGCUUAAAUAAUUCGAAUUUAUCAAGAAGAAUUCGUUUGGUAAAAAAAGAGAAACAAAUUAAGUUUAUUUUAAAUCGUUCGCGAGUCUGAGAUAAACCAAAAUUAAAUUUAAACAAAUAAUAUCGCUAACCCUUUCAGCUCUCAACGUAGGGAGAUCUUUCGCCGUUGGAAAAACGAAUAAGUGAGUCAAUUAUAAACCAUGUUUGUUUGGUGCACUUUAUAUAUCCCCAAUAUAACUAACCUCACAGACCUGAGUUCGAAUAUUUUGACAUAAAAAAAAGAUGAAUAAGAACUAAAUUCUCUAAGCAUAGAUGUACAACC